GCGGGAGGCGCUGGGGGAGGGUUUUCGCAGUGUGCGCACGCGCGGGGCUCGACCAGCAUGUGCGCUUUCUCGUGAACCUGGCUUUUUGUCUUCAUUUCUUGCGCUGCGAAGUGCUUUGUAAACUUCAAGCUCAAGGCAACCUCUAAGUUGGCCUCCAAAGAUUCCUGUCUGGUAUUCAUGCUGUUGUGUCAUUUCCUCUCCUUGAGUGUGGGGUUGGACCUAGUGACUUCCUUCUAAUGAAUAGACUACAGCAAGAGUGAUAUGAUAUCCCUUCCAAGAUUAGGUUACAAAAGGACUGUGACUUGCUUGCUGUCUCUUGAUCUCUCCUUUGGUCACUCUGAGAAACCAGCUGCCAUAACGUGAGCUGCUCUAUGAAGAGGUCCACGUGGCAAGAAACUGAGGAAGGCCUCUGACCACCUGUACAACAGCCUGUAAGAAACUGAAUCCUCUAACAGCCACAUGAGAGAACUUGGAAGAAGAUCCUCUCCACCUUGAGCCUUGAUAUGACUGCAGCCCCACUGACACCUUGAUUGCAGCUUUGUGAGAAACCCUGAGCCAGAAACAUCCAGCUCAGCCACACAUGGGUUCUUCAUGCAUAGAAACUACAAGAUAAAUGAUUAUUGUGUUAAGUUGCUAUGUUUUGAGUAAUUUGUUAGAAAGCAAUAGAUAACUAAUACAAUUUCUGACUCUUCAUAA